rnacentral:rRNA from 1 species
UACGUAGGGUGCGAGCGUUAAUCGGAAUUACUGGGCGUAAAGCGUGCGCAGGCGGUCUGUUAAGACCGAUGUGAAAUCCCCGGGCUUAACCUGGGAACUGCAUUGGUGACUGGCAGGCUUUGAGUGUGGCAGAGGGAGGUAGAAUUCCACGUGUAGCAGUGAAAUGCGUAGAGAUGUGGAGGAACACCGAUGGCGAAGGCAGCCCCCUGGGCUGACACUGACGCUCAUGCACGAAAGCGUGGGGAGCAAACAGG